UACCAGCACCCCGAGUGGUCGGGACGUUUAUUGGGCGUAAAGCGCUUGUAGGCGGCUUGUUAAGUUCCGUGUGAAAUCCCCAGGCUUAACCUGGGAAGUGCGCGGAAAACUGGCGAGCUUGAGUGCCGGAGAGGGUCGCGGAAUUCCCGGUGUAGAGGUGAAAUUCGUAGAUAUCGGGAGGAACACCAGUGGCGAAGGCGGCGACCUGGACGGACACUGACGCUGAGACGCGAAAGCGUGGGGAGCAAACAGG
rnacentral:rRNA from 1 species